UCCCAGUUAGUACAAUGGUUAGUAUAGGGCACUCUCACUCGAUCGUUGUAUGAACACGGUUGUGUACUGCUCAGAUCAGGGUUCGAUUCCCUGGCCGGGAA
rfam:Sporisorium reilianum SRZ2 chromosome 19 complete DNA sequence